ensembl:lncRNA
ACUCAAAGUUGUUGGUCUUACACUUGAGGCACCAGAAAAAUGAUGGCGCCUUCCAUGGAAACCAGAAACUCAGCAGAACAAGGGACAAACUGAUGAGUCCAGUUUGAGCCCACCUGAGUUUGAGAUGCUGGAGGACUGUCUAGCAGACAGCUGCAGUCAACAUGUAGCUUGGCAGAGAGGUCAGGCAUGAGAUGUUAAUUUAUAGAAAGCUCACACACAAAAAUGAGAUGAGAAAACAGAAGGCUGACGCUGCCAUGCAGAUACAAGCAGCAAAGGAGAGUCUCAGAGAGACGUUCUUCAGGACCCAUUAACAUUUAGAGAUCAAGGAGAAUGGAAGCGAUGUGAAUAGUAAUGGAGGUGUGCCUAAGCGAAGCUGAUCGAUGAAAAUGUUAAUGAACAAAAACAUCAAUCAAGAGCUUCAUAAAAUGAUUCUUCACAACAAAUUUAUCCAAAAUGCUUUAAUGUAACUUGACACCCAUCUAUUUCACCCUAUCCUUUUCCCCCACCUCAGCUAUGCUCUUGCCUUUUUUUAAAAAUUGUAGUGAAGUCAGUCCUGGGUAUUCAUUGGAAGGACUGAUGCUGAGGAACCGUCAUAAUAUUUUCCAUAGCAACUGCAUCAUCUUAUACAAGCAGUGCACAAAGAUUCCAAUUUCUCUAUAUCAUCAACAGUACUUGUUACCUUUUUGUUUUUUUGAUGUUAGGCAUCCUGAUAGAUAUGAUGCGAUAUCUUGUGGUUUUGAUUUGCAUUUUCCUAAUGAUUAGUGAUGUUGAGCAUCUUUUCAAGUGCUUAUUGGCUGGCUGUAUUUCCUCACUGGAAAAAUGUCAAUUCAAGUCCUUUGGUUACUUUUGAAUUUUUGCUGUUGUUAUUGUUAAGUUUUAAGAGUUCUUUAUGUAUUCAAUAUAUUAAUCCCUUAUCAGAUUUAUGAUUUGCAAAUAUUGUCUCCCAUUCUGUGGGCUGUCUUUUUACUCUGUUGAUCAUGUCCUUUUGAUGAACAAAAGUUUUUAAUUUUGAUGUCCAACUUGUCUAUUUUUUCUUCUGUUACCUGUGCUUCUGGUGUCAUAUUCAAGAAAUCAUUGCCAAAUCUAAUACCACUAUGAUUUCCUCCAGUGUUUUCUUCUAAGAGUCUUAUAGUUUUAGUUCUUAGGUCUUUGAUCCAUUUUCAGUUAAAUUUUGUGUAGGCUGAGAGAUAAGGGUCCAACUUUAUUCUUUUAUCAUGUGAAUAGCCUGUUUUUCCUACAUCAUUUGCCAAGACUGUCUUCUCGCUAUUGAAUGAUCUUGGCAACCUUGACCAUUUGCUGCAUGCGUAAUGGUUUAUUUCAGGGCUCUCUGUUCUGCAUCACCUCUAUUUCUGUCUUUUAGCCGGUACCAUAUUGUUUUGAUUACUAUAGCUUAAAGUACUAAGUUUUGAAGUCAGGAAGUAUAAAAGUUUGUUCUUUUUCAAUAUUCUGUUAGCUCUUUGGGGUCCUUUGUGAUUCUAUGUGAAUUUUACGAUGACUCUAUUUCUG